AUGGUGGCUGCAAAGAUGGAACACAUUUGUACUGCUACUACAAAUUCAGCUAAAGCAUAUCCUGGUAAUACCAAUGGUAUGAGAUGAGUAUUUUACAAAUCUAAAAGUUUUAUUAGGACGACUGACAAAAUGCUGUCUAAGAUUUACUUUCCAUAUGAUAAGUGUUCACAGAUCCUAAAAUACAUGCUAUUGUAGAAAGGGAAAAAAAAAAAACACAAACUACAAAGACAUGUUUAUACAAUAAAACAGCAGAAAAGCUCCUAUAUAACCACUAUCUUCAUGACGUCGGCUACCUAAGAUUUCCUGCUUGAGAAGUUAAGGAGAAAAGAAGAGAUUAAAAAAACAUUUCACAUGAACAGCACCAUAGCAAAGUAACUGCCUAAAAAUUCACAAUUUGCCAAUACCAUCCUUUGAAAAUGGACCGCCGAUCAAACAGAUGCAGGAACGUGUUAAGGUCCCCAUCUAUUAGGUAGCAUGUCUGUCUUGUAGGAUCCUUGCAGCUGCCUGAACGGUGCCAAAGUUGAUGCCCUCAGGCAGCAGCCAAACACUGAACGGGUGACAGUAACACAAUGCAUCGUCUCAGUCUUUUGGUGACAGGUUCUCCUUUCUUUGUUCAAAGAGUACAUUUAAAAAAAAAAAUAAAAAAAUUUUUUAAAAAAAAUUUUACAUUUUU